rnacentral:lncRNA from 1 species
GAAUGUGGGCGGGGCCUCUGCACAAACAUGACAGCGGGCAGUGAAACCAGCUGCACAACACAUCUCUGAGUGCAGAGGCGUUGUUCAGUAAACUCAGGAUGUCACGGCUCCAACAGGUCUUUCUAGUCACUCUCUUUAUAUAUAUUGCCAUUUGUGAUUUUGGAGAAUGUGUGCACGUGAUUUUAGGAGACUCGGCUGUGUUUCCAGAGACUGAGAACUGUCCCACCGGUGCAGAACUUUCCCGGGAAGAGCCGUACAGAACCCGGCUGGUGGCUGCUCGUGAGCACGGUGUUUGGAAACCGACCGAGGACUACACAGACAGGGUCAACCAGAGCGCUUCAUUUGCCUUCACGCGCACAGUUUACACGGACACCGGACUGUUUCUGUUGAGAUGUGGCAGCCGUGAGCGUCGCAUCCAGCUGGAUGUUCUUAUAGGUGUUGAAGCAUCAGUCUCAGAGGGGGAACCGGCCACACUGAAGUGCUACUACCCUGAUAAACACGAUGACUCUGUACUGCGGUGGACCAAAGACAAAGAGAUGGUGCUGGAGCUGAACCUGUCCUCCGGAGAGGUCAAACAUGGGCCAGGAUUUAAGAGUAGAAUGUCUCUUUCCCAGGCUGGCAGCAAACACGUUGACCGGUCGCUGGUUUUCGAUCAGGUUCUGCAGGGGGACCGGGGGGAUUACUUUUGCUCCGUGCACAGAAACGGCCUGCGAGAGAAGUGGGGAGACCCUGGUGCUGUGAGGCUGAAGUGGACAGAGAGAGACCCGGAUCAGACGACCCCCCGCCCGCCGCCAGCGAGCGCCGCUGAAGAGGAACAAAUGGGAACUCUGACAAUCGUCUUCAUAACAUCAGUUGUUGUGUUUUUGAUCGUGGCCCCUUUAUUUUUUCUGCUUGGCUGGUGUGUGAAGUCCCACUGCUCCAGAGCCUCGCCUAGAUCUGGUGGUGGACAACAUUCAGAAGUGGUGAAGCUCAUGGACAGUGACUCUCCUCUUCCCCCCCCCUGCAGUCUGUGUUUGUGCAAAGCUUUUAUAACGUUGUGUUUCUAUAGCUCUACAUUUAUUGCUACAAACUUGCCUUAACUUAGUUCCUCAUGUAACUUAAAAUAAAUGCUUCUUUCCUUUUUCCUGUGUUGUUAAUUUAAUUUGAAUGAAAAGGUAAUGUGGUUAAAUAUUGCUCUUCAGUAUCUCCACUCUGUGUUCACCUCACAUUUUAGUUUCAGGACUCUACACACACAUCGCUCGGCAGGUUCAUUAGUUUAGUUUGCUUCAUUCUGCUCUUUUAUUUCACCUUUUCUAAAGUAAGAUACUAACUUUGUUUAUUGCUGUGCGUAAAUACUUUAUUUUUUAGAAUUGUACUAAUGAGUAUUUACUAAAUGUAAGUUAAACUGUAAUUGUUUGUUAUAUUAAUAUACUUUGUAUCAUUGUUACAGAAAUAAAGUCUGUUUCCGUGUUCUUUAAUUGGGACACAGAUUUAUACCUUGAGUCUCCAUCACAGCUUUC